AUUGAACGCUGGCGGCAUGCCUUACACAUGCAAGUCGAACGGCAGCACGGGAGCAAUCCUGGUGGCGAGUGGCGAACGGGUGAGUAAUAUAUCGGAACGUGCCCAGUCGUGGGGGAUAACGCAGCGAAAGCUGUGCUAAUACCGCAUACGAUCUCUGGAUGAAAGCGGGGGACUCGCAAGAGCCUCGCGCGAUUGGAGCGGCCGAUAUCAGAUUAGCUAGUUGGUGGGGUAAAAGCCCACCAAGGCGACGAUCUGUAGCUGGUCUGAGAGGACGACCAGCCACACUGGAACUGAGACACGGUCCAGACUCCUACGGGAGGCAGCAGUGGGGAAUUUUGGACAAUGGGCGCAAGCCUGAUCCAGCAAUGCCGCGUGCAGGACGAAGGCCUUCGGGUUGUAACU
rnacentral:rRNA from 1 species